rnacentral:tRNA from 1 species
GGAGAGGUGGCAGAGUGGUUUAAUGCACAUGUCUGGAGAACAUGUGACUCCGUAAGGGGUCCGUGGGUUCAAAUCCCACCCUCUCCG